UAGUCGAAAAUGUUGUCUCUCUUGAGUGGAUCCUGAGUACGACGGAGCACGUGAAAUUCCGUCGGAAUCUGGGAGGACCAUCUCCUAAGGCUAAAUACUCUCUAGUGACCGAUAGUGAACCAGUACCGUGAGGGAAAGGUGAAAAGCACCCCGGAAGGGGAGUGAAAUAGAACCUGAAACCGUGUGCUUACAAGUAGUCAGAGCCCGUUAAUGGGUGAUGGCGUGCCUUUUGUAGAAUGAACCGGCGAGUUACGAUUUGAUGCAAGGUUAAGCAGUAAAUGUGGAGCCGUAGCGAAAGCGAGUCUGAAUAGGGCGUUUAGUAUUUGGUCGUAGACCCGAAACCAGGUGAUCUACCCUUGGUCAGGUUGAAGUUCAGGUAACACUGAAUGGAGGACCGAACCGACUUACGUUGAAAAGUGAGCGGAUGAACUGAGGGUAGCGGAGAAAUUCCAAUCGAACCUGGAGAUAGCUGGUUCUCUCCGAAAUAGCUUUAGGGCUAGCCUCAAGUGAUGAUUAUUGGAGGUAGAGCACUGUUUGGACGAGGGGCCCCUCUCGGGUUACCGAAUUCAGACAAACUCCGAAUGCCAAUUAAUUUAACUUGGGAGUCAGAACAUGGGUGAUAAGGUCCGUGUUCGAAAGGGAAACAGCCCAGACCACCAGCUAAGGUCCCAAAAUAUAUG
rnacentral:rRNA from 1 species